rnacentral:pre_miRNA from 1 species
UGUCGUAUGCGUGAUGACACGUUCUCGUGUAUUCCAGAAUGACAUCACAUAUAUGGCAGC